rnacentral:piRNA from 1 species
UAAAGUUUCUUUACAAAUAUC